CAAAUUCCCAAAGUGCCUUCCCAACCCGCUGACACUGCAGUAAAGGGAUGAGGUGCAGAGAGAGCCACGGGGUGCAGUGAAGGGAUGAGGUGCAGAGAGAGCCACGGGGUGCAGUAAAGGGAUGAGGUGCAGAGAGAGCCACGGGGUGCAGUGAAGGGAUGAGGUGCAGAGAGAGCCACGGGGUGCAGUGAAGGGAUGAGGUGCAGAGAGAGCCACGGGGUGCAGUGAAGGGAUGAGGUGCAGAGAGAGCCACGGGGUGCAGUAAAGGGAUGAGGUACAGAGAGAGCCCCGGGGUGCAGUAAAGGGAUGAGGUACAGAGAGAGCCCUGGGGUGCAGUGAAGGGAUGAGGUACAGAGAGAGCCCCGGGGUGCAGUGAAGGGAUGAGGUACAGAGAGAGCCCCGGGGUGCAGUGAAGGGAUGAGGUACAGAGAGAGCCCCGGGGUACAGUGAAGGGAUGAGGUAUGAGGAUGGCAGACUGUCAAUAGCAGUGUCAAACUCUCUUAUAGGGGAG
ensembl:lncRNA